UGAAGCAAAGAUAAAGGCCUUUUUGUAUAAAAAUCAUGUUAAAACCACAUAAGAGCUGAAGUACAAUGUUUACUGUUGCUUUUUCUUUCUCAAUUACAUAAAUCUACUCCAUUAGCAGCAUUUUGUCAUCAUUAUAUUGGUCCCUGGAUUCCCCAUGUAUUGAUUGGUGACCUUUUCACAAUCCCCAGCUGGGAUCCAAUUCUUUAUUCUUAAUAGAGUUCUGCUUUAUUCUGUACAAUCCUUCUUUAUUAACUGAUUCAAGGAAACUGUCUUACCACUCCUCCCAUAAAUCGCCAUCCGCACCUCAGUGGAUUUAAGGUGCUCAGUGAGCAUUUCAUCCACUCAGAGCUUUUCAAACUUACUCUCCACAGGGUCUUGCUUCCUUCAGGCUACAGGUGCAUCUCAAUAAAUCAGAAUAUCAUUUCAAUUCAAAAAGUGAAAUUUCAUAAAUUUGACACUAUUACACCUACCUGGACGUCCUAAACACCUCAGCAGAGCAACAGGCUGAUUGGUUCCAUGCCACUCCGCAUGUUAUGUGUAAUUUAUUUAUAUGAUCUGUACCAUUAAAGAUUUCUUCAGUUUUUGCUUUGAUGUUGCACUUACAUAUUUUAGAUCAUCAAACUAAUUUCUAUAUCAGACAAAGAUAACCCAAGUUAAUUCAAAAUAAAUGAUGACCUGUAAACCUGAUGGCUGGUUGUGGCACCUUUGGUGGGAUUAAACUGUCAAUCAUGCCACAGCAUCUCAGUCAAAUUAAUGUCCAGACUUUGACUAGGCCUUUUCAAAACCUUUUUGAUUUAGCCUUACAGAGGUGGACAUGCUGGUGUGCUUCAAAACACUGUCCUGCUGCACACCUGAAGUGACUUGAGCUUAAGGUUAAGAACUGACAUACGCUUCAGGAUUUUCUAGUAGAAAGCAGAAUUCAUGGUUCUAUUAAUUACUCCAAGUCCAGGUCCUGAGAAGCAAACCAGCUCAAGACCAUCACAAUACCACCACCAUGUUUAACAUCAAUGAUUUCUUUUAUUUUCAGAGUUACAAAGGGUUCUGGUUCUGUGAGCGGCGCCCUCUACAGGAAGAGGAAGUAAACUGAUGUCAGGUCCGGUCCUGUGAGCGGAUGAGAGAACCAGAGAUGGAGAGGCGAUAGCAGCGCUGGUCCUAGAUCAGCCUCCGCCCACCAACAACAAGGUCCAAACUAACCGGAUUCUCAGUUUAUUUAAACCAAUCAGCAGCUUACAAAACCAUCAGGUGACACCUGAUAUGGUGUUCAUGAAGACAGGCCUGGGAGACAGAAUCCUCAUUUUGAUUGGCUAGGAGCAGAGGGUGCACCACUGAGAGGUCAGGAGUCGCUCCCUCCUCCACCAUGGCAUCAUAGAUGACAAAGCCAACUGCCUUCUUCAGGUCACAUUUCCAUUUGAGAGUGAGGUGAUGAUGAGAGCCACAGAACUAAAGAGGGAAGAAUCCAUGAAAGGAUAGAGGAGGCAAGGGGCAAGAAUAAGACGAGGAUGAAGGCAAAGGAAAAAGAAGGGCAGAAGAUGAAGCAGAUGUGACAAUGAUGAAGGAAAUCUACUGAUGGACUCUGCCCACCUGAAAACACACAAAUAGAUUGACCUUUUACAUGACAGCCCUCUUAAACAUCAGUGAACAUUAAUCAUCACAAUCUGAAUGUGUCAAUUCAUGUGAUAAAACCCCUCAAAACUAGAAUCUUCGAUAAGUGAUUAUUGAGGGCCUGUGCUGAAAUUUAUGAAAACCCCAAAUUUGGUUUCUCAGAAAAUUAGAAUAUUACAUCACACCAAUAAACAAGGAUUUUUCAUGCAGAAAGGUUAUGUAAUGGCUGACCUAAUCAUCGAAAAAAGAUUUGACUUGACACUUAGCCAGCUAACAGUCAUUGACACCCUCCAAAAGGAAGGUUAGCUAGAGAUUCACAAGGUGUGGACUGCAGCUGGAGUCAGAUUUUUAAGAACCACCACACAGACAUAUCCAGGAUAUGGGCCCCAACUCUUGCAUUCCUUGACUAAAGCAGAGACGGGGCUAAAACAAAAAUGGACUGGACUGUUGCUUAUUGGUCCAAAGUCCUAUUGUUAGAUCAAAAUCAAUUUUGCCUUUUAUUUGUAAAUCAAGAUCCCAGAGUUUGGAGGAAGAGUAGAGAGACACAGAAUCCAUGUGGCAGGAGGUCCCGUGUGAAGUUAGUGAUGAUUUGAAGAGUCAUACCAUCAGCUGGUGCUGGUCCACUUUGUUAUUGCAAGUCCAAAGUCAGAGCAGUCGUCUACCAGGACAUUUUUAAGGUGCUCCUGGUUCCUUCUGCGGAUAAGCUUUGUGGAGCUGCUGAUUUCAUUUUCCAGCAGGACUUGGCACCUGCCCACACUGCCAAAAGUAAUAACACCUAUGUUAAUGACCAUGUAAUCACUGUGCUAUAACCUGACCUAAAUCCCACAGAUAAUCUAUGGAGGAUUGUCAAGCGGAAGGUAAGAUACUCCUGAGCCAACAAUGCAGAUAUCCUGAAGCCAGCUAUUAAAGCAACCUGUGCAAAAGAAGCUCUGACCAUGUAUUAAGUGUGUAUCCUGUCUGCAUGGCCAUACUUUUUACAAGGCUGACAUUUCUGUGUUGAUCAUUUUUUGGUCAUAUGUCAUGUUCUAAUUUUCUGAGAAACUACAGUACUAUGGUACUAUAGAUAGUCAUGAAUGACUUUGGCUGUUUGUUUGGGUUCACUCACUUCGGAUUUUA